UUUUUAGUACAAGUCUGUCCCAUGCAAUAUUUGGGAUCAACUUAUACUAAAA
rfam:Homo sapiens chromosome X, GRCh38 reference primary assembly.